rnacentral:rRNA from 1 species
AUUUUCUUCCCCCCCUUUUUUUUUUAAACAUCGCCUCCUGCAACUAAACUGAGUAUAGGAGGUCCAGCCUGCCCAGUGACUACGGGUUCAACGGCCGCGGUAUUUUGACCGUGCAAAGGUAGCGCAAUCACUUGUCUUUUAAAUAGAGACCUGUAUGAAUGGCUAAACGAGGGCUUAACUGUCUCCCCCUUCGAGUCAGUGAAAUUGAUCUAUCCGUGCAGAAGCGGGUAUAAACAUACAAGACGAGAAGACCCUUUGGAGCUUAAGGUACAAAAUUCAACCACGUUAAGCAACUUAGUAAAAAGCAAAAACUUAGUGGAGCCUGAAAUUUUACCUUCGGUUGGGGCGACCGCGGAGGAAAAACAAGCCUCCGAGUGGAAUGGGCCAAACCCCUAAAACCAAGAGAGACAUCUCUAAGCCACAGAACAUCUGACCAGAAAUGAUCCGGCUAAUAAGCCGAUCAACGAACCAAGUUACCCUAGGGAUAACAGCGCAAUCCUCUCCCAGAGUCCAUAUCGACGAGGGGGUUUACGACCUCGAUGUUGGAUCAGGACAUCCUAAUGGUGCAGCCGCUAUUAAGGGUUCGUUUGUUCAACGAUUAAAGUCCUACGUGACUGUUUUCCAAAAACC